AUCCAGCUCUGAAGAAAUUAAAUACAAGGCGCAGUGGCCAGAGCUCCAGCAACCAUCUUGGACAAUGAAAAAACCUUCACAAUGAUAGCCAUGGCGAAACACAGUGGAGUAGGAAGAUAAAAGAGACUGAGAACCGGAUAACCACGGAGUUCCAUACCAGCUCUCCUGAUACCUUUCAUAAAAGAGUGAAAUGAGCAUCUACCUUUUUGUUUUGCUUCAUUAUUAUUUGGCUGGGUUUUCUUUUAAGUUACCAAUAGUCUAUUUUUACUUGUACUUUAGCUGCUUUUAUGUAUUAAUAUACCAUUGAAUGCAUGUAAAUCUUCAUAUAAGUCAUAAACUAUGUAAGAUUAGAU
rnacentral:lncRNA from 10 species